CAGGGGUGGAGGAGUGGUUGGGUUGGGGUGCAGGUGGAGGUGUAUCAGGGUAGGGGUGAAGGAGGGGUGGAGGAGUGGUAGGGUUGGGGUGCAGGUGGAGGUGGAGGCGUAUCAGGGUAGGGGUGAAGGAGGAGUGGUAGGUUUGGGAUGCAGGUGGAGGCGUAUCAGGGUAGGGGUGAAGAAGGGGUGGAGGAGUGGUAGGGUUGGGGUGCAGGUGGAGGUGGAGGCGUAUCAGGGUAGGGGCGUAUCAGGGUAGGGGUGAAGGAGGAGUGGUAGGUUUGGGAUGCAGGUGGAGGCGUAUCAGGGUAGGGGUGAAGAAGGGGUGGAGGAGUGGUAGGGUUGGGGUGCAGGUGGAGGUGUAUCAGGGUAGGGGUGAAGGAGGGGUGGAAGAGUGGUAGGGUUGGGGUGCAGGUGGAGGUGG
ensembl:lncRNA